rnacentral:rRNA from 1 species
GACGAACGCUGGCGGCGUGCUUAACACAUGCAAGUCGAACGGAAAGGCCCUGCUUUUGUGGGGUGCUCGAGUGGCGAACGGGUGAGUAACACGUGAGUAACCUGCCCUUGACUUUGGGAUAACUUCAGGAAACUGGGGCUAAUACCGGAUAGGAGCUCCUGCUGCAUGGUGGGGGUUGGAAAGUUUCGGCGGUUGGGGAUGGACUCGCGGCUUAUCAGCUUGUUGGUGGGGUAGUGGCUUACCAAGGCUUUGACGGGUAGCCGGCCUGAGAGGGUGACCGGCCACAAUGGGACUGAGAUACGGCCCAGACUCCUACGGGAGGCAGCAGUGGGGAAUAUUGCACAAUGGGCGGAAGCCUGAUGCAGCAACGCCGCGUGCGUGAUGACGGCCUUCGGGUUGUAAACCGCUUUCGCCUGUGACGAAGCGUGAGUGACGGUAAUGGGUAAAGAAGCACCGGCUAACUACGUG